UACGGGGGGAGCAAGCGUUGUUCGGAUUUACUGGGCGUAAAGGGCGCGUAGGCGGCCACCGCAAGUCGAUUGUGAAAUCUCCGGGCUUAACUCGGAAAGGUCAACCGAUACUGCGGGGCUAGAGUGCAGAAGGGGCAACUGGAAUUCUCGGUGUAGCGGUGAAAUGCGUAGAUAUCGAGAGGAACACCUGCGGCGAAGGCGGCAUUCUGGACCAAUAUUGACGCUGAGGAGCGAAAGCCAGGGGAGCAAACGGG
rnacentral:rRNA from 1 species